rnacentral:rRNA from 1 species
GAUGAACGCUGGCGGCGUGCUUAACACAUGCAAGUCGAGCGAAGCACUCUGCUUUGAUUCUUUCGGGAUGAAGAGCAUUGUGACUGAGCGGCGGACGGGUGAGUAACGCGUGGGUAACCUGCCUCAUACAGGGGGAUAACAGUUAGAAAUGGCUGCUAAUACCGCAUAAGACCACAGCACCGCAUGGUGCAGGGGUAAAAACUCCGGUGGUAUGAGAUGGACCCGCGUCUGAUUAGCUAGUUGGUGGGGUAACGGCCUACCAAGGCGACGAUCAGUAGCCGACCUGAGAGGGUGACCGGCCACAUUGGGACUGAGACACGGCCCAAACUCCUACGGGAGGCAGCAGUGGGGAAUAUUGCACAAUAGGGGAAACCCUGAUGCAGCGACGCCGCGUGAGCGAAGAAGUAUUUCGGUAUGUAAAGCUCUAUCAGCAGGGAAGAAAAUGACGGUACCUGACUAAGAAGCCCCGGCUAACUACGUGCCAGCAGCCGCGGUAAUACGUAGGGGGCAAGCGUUAUCCGGAUUUACUGGGUGUAAAGGGAGCGUAGACGGCGAGGCAAGUCUGAUGUGAAGACCCGGGGCUCAACCCCGUGACUGCAUUGGAAACUGUUUUGCUUGAGUGCCGGAGAGGUAAGCGGAAUUCCUAGUGUAGCGGUGAAAUGCGUAGAUAUUAGGAGGAACACCAGUGGCGAAGGCGGCUUACUGGACGGCAACUGACGUUGAGGCUCGAAAGCGUGGGGAGCAAACAGGAUUAGAUACCCUGGUAGUCCACGCCGUAAACGAU